rnacentral:rRNA from 1 species
CGGCAACAGCUCAAAUUUGAAAUCUGGCUCUCGGGCCCGAGUUGUAAUUUGUAGAGGAUGCUUCGGGAGCGGUCCCCAUCUAAGUGCCCUGGAACGGGACGUCAUAGAGGGUGAGAAUCCCGUAUGG